CUGCUUGACGGGUUGGGUCAACCAUCUGGAAGGGAUAGAAAAUCCGAGGUGUGGAAGCCAUGUCUGUCAUUACAGUUGCACUAGCUCCAAUCUGGUCAAGUCGUUGCAACUUUGUGAACAAAAAUUGAAAGUUUUACUCGAAAAGAAGCAAGAAGCUGUCACCGAAUAUGCGAAAACUUGCGACAAAGCGGAUUUGAACAUGAAGCGGUUAAUGGCAGGGGAAAUGGACUUGUUAUCCUUUAUCCAAGCCGAACACGGCGAUGAGAAUGGAGAUAGGGCAGAAAUGUUGGAGGAUUUACAAGACGAUGCAAAACUUUGUAAUGACCUGAAACCUGACAUGAUGGGUGCCAUGGAGUUGGUAAAUUCCACGACCAGGGAGAUGGACAACGUCGUCCAGAUGGGUGAAGUAUGGGGCAAGCAUGCGUUAAAUGUAAAUAUCAAACUUGGACUUCCUGCCUUCAAACAGGUCACGGCCGGGCUGCCGGUUGAUUUAGAGAUUUUAGAAAAAUUGGUCAAAUUCCAUGUCAAGAUUUAAGGAUUGAGAAAUCUUGUGCUGCUGGAAAAAAUUCCCGAAAAGAAGAAGAUAUUUGAAAACGAACUUUCCCAAGAAGAAACCCUGCUAAAAGAUUUCCUCUCCUUGUCAACCACUUCCGAGCAAAUUCUGAACAUUGUACCAGGAACGGAUGCAUUUUUGAGAAAGGCGACCAAAAAUAUGAAAGCGGCUAAUGGAAUUCGUGACAGCGAUAUUCUCGCUAAAAUGGACAAAUAUCGCAAACUUACCGACGAGCAUAAAGCCCUGAGUGACAAAUAUUCCAUGCAUAUCAGCAAAGUCAAGGAAAUACUGCAAAAAAUUGGAGAAAACGAGGAAACCAUGGAAAAUGAAAGGGUUGAGCUUUGAACAAAUAAAUGAUAAUGACAUCAAUACGAUUAAAUAUUUAGGCGUAAUCAAAUUUAUAGUCUUAUAAUUAAAUUAUUGGAGUAGCGUGUUACAAAGUAAUAUUUUUAAACAUUUAAAAAUUAUUAAUCCUUUGUACAUAUUUGGUAGUUUUUACAAAAUUCAGGAUUUUCCCUUCGAGUUGGGCUUAGGGUUACGCCUGGCGAAAAAAAGACGCAUAAAUAAAUCU